GCAGUGAUGCAGAGCAAAUCCCCAAAAAUUAGUCUCAGUUCAGAUUGCAGGCUGAAACUCGCCUGCAUGAAGUCGGAAUUGCUAGUAAUCGCGGAUCAGCAUGCCGCGGUGAAUACGUUCCCGGGCCUUGUACACACCGCCCGUCACACCAUGAGAGUUUGUAACACCCAAAGCCGGUGGGGUAACCUUUUGGAGCCAGCCGUCUAAGGUGGGACAGAUGAUUGGGGUGAAGUCGUAACAAGGUAAC
rnacentral:rRNA from 1 species